rnacentral:rRNA from 1 species
UGCUGUAACACACCUCUUGGGAGAAGCCUACUUGAUUGAAAUUUAGUUUACCAAAAUCAUCCUUGCUUGGGCGAGAGUAGUACUAGGAUGGGUGACCUCCUGGGAAGUCCUCGUGUUGCAUUCC